UUAGCCUAACGGCUGAACCAGCAACUUGGAGGAAUGUAUAGCGAUAGCUAAUUGCACUAAAAAACAGUUUAUGCAAUAUCGACUCAGUCGAAUAAAAUUCUAGGUAGAAUUAUGAUGAUGACAUUGUCUGCCUAUGUGUCUUGACCAAAUUACGUGCCAGCAGUCGCGGUAAUACGUAGAAGACUAGUGUUAUUCAUCUUUAAUAGGUUUAAAGGGUACCUAGACGGUAAAUCAAGCCUUCAAGGGGACUAAUUUACUAGAGUUACUUGUGAGGGGGUAUUAAAGUACUGCUGGUGUAGAGAUGAAAUUCUGUGAUACCUCUUUUAGACAUGAAAAUAAUGGCACAGGUAUAGGCGAAAGCAUCCCCUUAUGUGAUAACUGACGUUGAAGGACGAAGGCUUUGUGUAGCGAACAGGAUUAGAUACCCCAGUAGUCAAAGCAGAAAAUGAUGAAUGUCAUAGAUUAGACAGGUAAUAGUUUAUUCUAUAAAUGAAAGUGUAAGCAUUCCACCUCAAGAGUAAUUUGGCAACAUUGGAACUGAAAUCAUUAGACCGUUUCUGAAACCAGUAGUGAAGUAUGUUGUUUAAUUUGAUAAUCCGCAAAAAACCUUACCACAAUUUGAAUAUUUAUAUUAUUUUCUGAUCUAUUUUAUGAAAGGAGAAAAGUAUAUUUACAAGCGUUGCACGGCUGUCUUCAGUUAAUGUCGUGAGAUUUUGGUUAGUUCCAUUAAAUUAACGUAAACCCUCACUUUAUUUUUAUAUAAAGUAGUUCCCCACUAGAUUGGAUAAGAUAACAGGGACUAAGACAAGUCAUCAUGGCCUGAAUAUUGUGGGCUAUAGACGUGCCACAUAAACCUUACAAAAGGAUGUGAAAUUGUGAAAUUGAGCUAAUCCCCC
rnacentral:rRNA from 1 species